UUCGAGCGUCAUUGCGACCAACAAGCCUAAGCUUGGUAUUGGAUGUCAUCUAGCUGGUGCAUCUUAAAGUCAGUGGCGGUGCCAUUCAGCUUCGAGCGUAGUAAUUUUCUCGCUUCUGGAGUUUGGGUGUCGUGCCUGCUAGAACCCCUAAAUUAUUAAGGUUUGACCUCGGAUCAGGUAGGGAUACCCGCUGAACUUAA
rnacentral:misc_RNA from 1 species